rnacentral:rRNA from 1 species
GACGAACGCUGGCGGCGUGCUUAACACAUGCAAGUCGAACGGAAAGGCCCUGCUUUUGUGGGGUGCUCGAGUGGCGAACGGGUGAGUAACACGUGAGUAACCUGCCCUUGACUUUGGGAUAACUUCAGGAAACUGGGGCUAAUACCGGAUAGGAGCUCCUGCUGCAUGGUGGGGGUUGGAAAGUUUCGGCGGUUGGGGAUGGACUCGCGGCUUAUCAGCUUGUUGGUGGGGUAGUGGCUUACCAAGGCUUUGACGGGUAGCCGGCCUGAGAGGGUGACCGGCCACCUUGGGACUGAGAUACGGCCCAGACUCCUACGGUGGGCAGCAGUGGGGAAUAUUGCACAAUGGGCGGAAGCCUGAUGCAGCAACGCCGCGUGCGGGAUGACGGCCUUCGGGUUGUAAACCGCUUUCGCCUGUGACGAAGCGUGAGUGACGGUAAUGGGUAAAGAAGCACCGGCUAACUACGUG